rnacentral:lncRNA from 1 species
CGUCCCCCAAUCCAUUCUGGUAACUAGGAUGGGGCCCUACACAAGGCCAGCACUUGGAAUGAUUUGAGAGGCAACUGGAGAGCUUUAAGGCGGCAGAUAGCUUCCUUCCGGGUUUGGGGAGCUUUUCACACGUAAACGUAUCCUCUGGUGGAAGCCCAGAAUGAAUGACCUGGAGAGGGGGUGCUAGGGUGGCGGACUGGAGGGCAAAGCUGGAUUACUAGUGGACUGAGGAAGUGCAAAUAUCCUCUCUCCCAUCCAACUUUUUCGGGGUUACGUUGGGUCAUAGAGCUGUAAGAGGGUUAAGGGCACGACUCUAAAGGAAAAGCCGCCCCUUGUCCACUUACUAACCCCGUUUCCCAGGCGUGCGAAUCCCGGCGGAGAGGGUGAACACUCUCCAACUCCCUUCCCGGGGAUCAGAGUCCAGACGCCGCCGGCGGCCAGAGCAACCGGAGGCCCGAGGCCCCGCUCCGCCCAGCGCCCGAGACGCUCCCGCUUCCCGCCCCCGCCCCCGCCCCCGCCCCCGCCCCCGCCCCCGCCCGCGCCCCCGCCCCCGCCCCCGCACGCCAGCAGCGCCGCGUCCUAAGCCCAAAGCUGGCUCCGGCGCCGCGGGGCCCAGGGCGGGCCGGGCGCAGCGAGCAGGAGCCUCGGGACCUCCAGGGGCAGGAGGGAUGGAUGUCCAGCCCCAGUAGCCUGUACCUUCUGUUCCAGUGCAGUUUCUACCUUCAGCUAAAACUCUGGAAAGCUGAGUGCCUUCGCUGUGCAGGGCCUGAGAACAGCUCUUUCUUGAACGACCAAGUCUGGAGGAAGCUCUCUCUGGACUCCUGCCUUUCUUCCCCACCGCUGAGAGGGAAGUGUAUAGUCUCUCAGGGCCUCAUAGUUUUAAAUGCAAUCAAAUUAGUUCCUGAUUAUGAUAUGGGCUGUGUGUUUAUUCAAGAAUAA